ensembl:lncRNA
GACGUAGUUCAGAUUUUUUUUUAAAUGGUUGGUCAGAAAAGACAAGUCUCUAGAGCAGGACCAGACCCAAAGCAGAAGCCCCUGCUGUGCGCAGACAUAUAGGCACCAGGCUUAUGCUGGACAGGGGUCACUUCUAUUUCCAGAUUAAGAUUUGUUGGAAGGGGGACCAUGACAAAUGACAAAAGGAUCAGUUUUUCAAAAACAAGUAUGAAGUAAUUACAGAGGGAAAAACAUAAUGGUUCACAGGGAGUGAGAUAAGUCGUGAUUCUUCAUUGGUACUGACCUGGCCCCAAACCACGAGUCCUUCAGUGGCACACCCAGCAGCCCACUGAGCUGGGGUCACAUAGAAAGACUGCAGGCAGAAAGGUGGGGUUGGGGCCUACUUGGCUAUAGUAACGGUGUCCAGACCGGGAGAGCACACUUGUAUGCUACCCGUAGCCACAGCCCAGCUCUUCCAGGCUUCUAUCACAUUUACAAAUACAUACAUAAAUACAUUACAUACAAUAGUGGGUCUGGGAGGCAGGCUUCCCAUAGAGAGGCUCAGCUGACAGUUAUGUCUCAGAAUUCUAGGAAGGGCACCGGGCUCCCAGAAAUGUGCUCCAUGUGUUCUCUCCUGCCCAGAGUAUACCCUGCCCAAGAGCCCACCCUCUCCUUUUCAGGAUCUAGUUUGUCCAGUAUGGAGAGUUGCCGUAGGUGGGUUUGGAGGCUUGAGACUUGGGCUGCAGGGAGCUGGGCUGGCUGCGCUGACCAGAGCCACUCGGGGCGUCCUGUGGUAGGUGGUGGUGCAGCAGCUGGGAGUGGGGCUGCUGGUGGGCCGGCAUGAUGUGCAGGAACGGCGCAGGCGCAUAGCCGGGGGCUGCGCCAGGAGCCAGGGGCCCAGUGGAGCCCAAGGCAGAGGGCAGGCUGAAAGGUGGUGGAGUCCCUGUAUGAAAUCCCUGCUUGUCAAAAGUCUGUGUCUUGUUGUAGACAGAACCAGUCAUAUCGGGUAAGCCAGUGCCUGAAGAUACUGAUACCCCUUUGCUAGGCCCAGAACCAGCCGACUUGUUUGGUGCCUGAGAUGAUCCACCGUAGCCACCCUUGGUGUAGUCUCCUGCCGCUGUUCCCUGGGUCAAAUCGUCAUAACCUGCGCUGUAAG